UACGUAGGGUGCAAGCGUUGUCCGGAAUUAUUGGGCGUAAAGAGCUCGUAGGCGGUUUGUCGCGUCUGCUGUGAAAACCCGAGGCCCAACCUCGGGCCUGCAGUGGGUACGGGCAGACUAGAGUGCGGUAGGGGAGAUUGGAAUUCCUGGUGUAGCGGUGGAAUGCGCAGAUAUCAGGAGGAACACCGAUGGCGAAGGCAGAUCUCUGGGCCGUAACUGACGCUGAGGAGCGAAAGCAUGGGGAGCGAACAGG
rnacentral:rRNA from 1 species